GGGGCGUCUGUCCAUAUUAACACCGCAGUACACCUGCUCGGGUGACGUUUGACGCAAAGAAGAAAUGCGUCGAGGAUGGUUUUCACUUUUAAAGGCCUGCUAUGUGACCCCUGGAGGACGUUUUCAAGACAUUUGCAGCGACUCGCACCAGAAUUAGCCAAUGGGGUGCUUGGUUUGAAAUGUCACCAUAGAGACGAGCUUCAGGCAUCUUUCACUGAAGGUCAUCACAAGCGGCAUCGGAUCUGAGACUCCCUGUUGUCACCCCUCCUGUCCGCAAGACCACCCCGGGAAAUGGCCUCCCAAGUUUCCACAACGUGGACGGCUAGGACGUCCUUCAAGGUCUGUUUUGUGUGUGAAUGGACAAACUGGAUGUUUACAUGAUUAUUUAUAUAACAUCCUAUGUGUGGCACAAUAGAAGGAGGAAAAAAAAAAAAAAGCA